AGAGUUUGAUUCUGGCUCAGAAUAAACGCUGGCGGCGUGCCUAACACAUGCAAGUCGAGCGAGAAAGUCCGCAAGGAUGAGUACAGCGGCGAACGGGUGAGUAACGCGUGGGUAUCUGCCUUUUAGUGAAGAAUACCUUCGAGAAAUCGGAGUUAAUGCUGCAUACGUCUAGAAAUAGAGAAAGAUGGCUUAAUUGCUAUCGCUAAAAGAUGAGCCUGCGUACUACUAGUUAGUUGGUGGGGUAAAGGCCUACCAAGACAAAGAUGGUUAACCGGCCUGAGAGGGUGUACGGUCACAUUGGAACUGAGAAACGGUCCAGACUCCUACGGGAGGCAGCAGUGGGGAAUAUUGCACAAUGGGCGCAAGCCUGAUGCAGCGACGCCGCGUGGAGGAAGAAGGUUUUCGGAUUGUAAACUCCUGUUACGUGGGAAGAAAGGUACUUUGGCUAAUAUCCAAGGUAUAUGACGUUACCAUGAGAGAAAGCACCGGCAAACUUCGUGCCAGCAGCCGCGGUAAUACGAAGGGUGCAAGCGUUAUUCGGAGUUACUGGGCGUAAAGAGCGUGUAGGCGGUGUCCUAAGUCAAUCGUUAAAUUUCCCAGCUUAACUGGGAACCUGCGAGUGAUACUGGGAUGCUAGAGUGUGAGAGAGAGAAGUAGAAUUCUUGGAGUAGCGGUAAAAUGCGUAGAUCUCAAGAGGAAUACCAAAGGCGAAGGCAGCUUCUUGGCUCACUACUGACGCUUAAGCGCGAAAGCGUGGGGAGCAAACAGGAUUAGAUACCCUGGUAGUCCACGCCGUAAACGAUGAUCACUGGAUAUGGGUUUUGCAUAGCAAAAUCUGUGUCGAAGCUAACGCGUUAAGUGAUCCGCCUGGGGAGUACGGUCGCAAGAUUAAAACUCAAAGAAAUUGACGGGGGUCCUCACAAGCGGUGGAACAUGUGGUUUAAUUCGACACUACGCGAGGAACCUUACCUGGAUUUGACAUGUAAUCGCUACUGGUGGAAACAUUGGGUUCUAUAGCAAUAUAGACGGUUACACAGGUGCUGCAUGGCUGUCGUCAGCUCGUGUCGUGAGAUGUUGGGUUAAGUCCUUUAACGAGCGCAACCCUUGCUGCCAGUUGCUACCUAACGGAGCACUCUGGUGGACUGCCUGGGAAACCAGGAGGAAGGUGGGGAUGACGUCAAGUCCGCAUGGCCCUUAUAUCCAGGGCUACACACGUGUUACAAUGGCUCGCACAAAGGGACG
rnacentral:rRNA from 1 species